rnacentral:rRNA from 2 species
AAAUUGAAGAGUUUGAUCAUGGCUCAGAUUGAACGCUGGCGGCAGGCCUAACACAUGCAAGUCGAACGGUAACAGGAAGCAGCUUGCUGCUUUGCUGACGAGUGGCGGACGGGUGAGUAAUGUCUGGGAAACUGCCUGAUGGAGGGGGAUAACUACUGGAAACGGUGGCUAAUACCGCAUAACGUCGCAAGACCAAAGAGGGGGACCUUCGGGCCUCUUGCCAUCAGAUGUGCCCAGAUGGGAUUAGCUUGUUGGUGAG